rnacentral:rRNA from 1 species
CCGGUGACGUAUCCUUCAAAUGUCUGACUUAUCAGCUGUCGAUGGUAGACUCUGUGUCUACCAUGGCGCUCACGGGUGACGGGGAAUCAGGGUUCGAUUCCGGAGAGGGAGCCUGAGAAACGGCUACCACAUCCAAGGAAGGCAGCAGGCACGCAAAUUACCCACUCCCGGCACGGGGAGGUAGUGACAAAAAAUAACGAUACGGGACUCAUCCGAGGCCCCGUAAUCGGAAUGAGAACACCCUAAAUCCUUUAACGAGGAUCUAUUGGAGGGCAAGUCUGGUGCCAGCAGCCGCGGUAAUUCCAGCUCCAAUAGCGUAUAUUAAAGUUGUUGCGGUUAAAAAGCUCGUAGUUGGUUCUGCGUGCCACGCUGUCGGUUCACCGCCUGCCGGUGCAACUGGCAUGCCGUGGCAUGUCCUGUCGGUGGCGGAUAGGCUUCGCGGCGUGCCCUGCGCGGUAACCACCGUGUAGGCCGCCGCGCCGCGUUGUCCUUGUACGCCGGCUCAAUCCUACCGCGGUGCUCUUUACCGAGUGUCGAGGUAGGCCGACACUGUUUACUUUGAACAAAUUAGAGUGCUUAAAGCAGGCUCAUAAAUUAGCCUGAAUAGUGGUGCAUGGAAUAAUGGAAAAGGACCUUGGUUCUAUUUUGUUGGUUUCCGGAAUCCAAGGUAAUGAUCAAUAAGGACAGGCGGGGGCAUUAGUAUUGCGACGUUAGAGGUGAAAUUCUUGGAUCGUCGCAAGACGCACUAAAGCGAAAGCAUUUGCCAAGUAUGUCUUAAUUGAUC